CUUCUGUGUUACCUGUCAUCAUUUGAAUGAUCUCCUGAUUCUGGCCAGUGAUGACAGAACUUGAGAAAGAUUCAACAACACACUGAAAUAAACUACCACAUACUGACCAGUUUGAGUGAGGUGACGCUGGUGGCUGACAGAGGUACAUGGACAAUGGACAUGUGUCAUCAUUUUAGAGUCUUCUGGAAAAAGCAACAGGCAACUCAAUGUUGGAAGGCAGAAUUGGUUUGUUAUCAUAACAAAAACUCUCCAGGCAGAAGCGAUGCUGCUUAUAAAUCAACCCACAUUUAAAAAGUGUUUAAUUAUUACUGUAUUUAAGUGCUAGUACCUAGUCCAGGGAUCUGUUAUUUGAAUACAGCUAAAAACAUCUACACUAAGAUGAUUUGACAGAUUUCACAUUGUGGUCAUUUUUCUCUGGUUGUGGGUCUUCAAACGCAUUUGCAGAUUUGAUCUGAAUAAAGUUUCUAAAAAGA